rnacentral:rRNA from 1 species
UACGUAGGUGGCAAGCGUUAUCCGGAAUUAUUGGGCGUAAAGAGCGCGCAGGUGGUUGAUUAAGUCUGAUGUGAAAGCCCACGGCUUAACCGUGGAGGGUCAUUGGAAACUGGUCGACUUGAGUGCAGAAGAGGGAAGUGGAAUUCCAUGUGUAGCGGUGAAAUGCGUAGAUAUCGGGAGGAACACCGGUGGCGAAGGCGGCUUUCUGGCCAGUUACUGACGCUCAUGCGCGAAAGCUGGGGUAGCGAACCGGAUUAGAUACCCGGGUAGU